rnacentral:rRNA from 1 species
UACGGGGGGGGGCAAGCGUUGUUCGGAAUUACUGGGCGUAAAGGGUUCGUAGGUGGCCAACUAAGUCAGACGUGAAAUCCCUCAGCUUAACUGGGGAACUGCGUCUGAGACUGGAUGGCUUGAGUGUGGGAGAGGGAUGCGGAAUUCCAGGUGUAGCGGUGAAAUGCGUAGAUAUCUGGAGGAACACCGGUGGCGAAGGCGGCAUCCUGGACCAUUACUGACACUGAGAAGCGAAAGCCAGGGGAGCAAACGGG